GACGAACGCUGGCGGCGUGCUUAACACAUGCAAGUCGAACGGAAAGGCCCUGCUUUUGUGGGGUGCUCGAGUGGCGAACGGGUGAGUAACACGUGAGUAACCUGCCCUUGACUUUGGGAUAACUUCAGGAAACUGGGGCUAAUACCGGAUAGGAGCUCCUGCUGCAUGGUGGGGGUUGGAAAGUUUCGGCGGUUGGGGAUGGACUCGCGGCUUAUCAGCUUGUUGGUGGGGUAGUGGCUUACCAAGGCUUUGACGGGUAGCCGGCCUGAGAGGGUGACCGGCCACAUGGGGAGUGAGAUACGGCCCAGACUCCGGCGGGGGGCAGCAGGGGGGAAGAUGGCACAAGGGGCGGAGGCGUGAGCCAGCAACCCCGCGGGGGGGAGGGGGGCCUUGGGGUUUAAAACCGCUUUCGCCUGUGACGAAGCGGGAGGGACGGUAGGGGGAAAAGAAGCACCGGCUAACUACGUG
rnacentral:rRNA from 1 species